rnacentral:rRNA from 1 species
GCACAAUGCCGUUAGCCAUACCAUGCAGUCGACGGUAACAGGAAGCAGCUUGCUGCUUUGCUGACGAGUGGCGGACGGGUGAGUAAUGUCUGGGAAACUGCCUGAUGGAGGGGGAUAACUACUGGAAACGGUAGCUAAUACCGCAUAACGUCGCAAGACCAAAGAUGGGGACCUUCGGGCCUCUUGCCAUCGGAUGUGCCCAGAUGGGAUUAGCUUGUUGGUGGGGUAACGGCUCACCUAGGCGACGAUCCCUAGCUGGUCUGAGAGGAUGACCAGCCACACUGGAACUGAGACACGGUCCAGACUCCUACGGGAGCCAGCAGUGGGGAAUAUUGCACAAUGGGCGCAAGCCUGAUGCAGCCAUGCCGCGAGAUGAAGAAGACCUUCGAGUUGUAAAGUACUUUCAGCGGGAAGGAAGGGAGUAAAGUUAAUACCUUUACUCAUUGACGUUACCCGCAGAAGAAGCACCGGCUAACCCCGUGCCAGCAGCCGCCGUAAAACGAAGGGUGCAAGCGUCAAUCGGAACUACAGGGCGUAAAGCGCACGCAGGCGGUUUGUUAAGUCAGAUGUGAAAUCCCCGGGGCUAACCUGGGAACUGCAUCUGAUACUGGGCAAGCUUGAGUCUCGUAGAGGGGGGGUAGAAUUGCAGGUGUAGCGGUGAAAUGCGUAGAGAUCUGGAGGGAAUACCGGUGGCGAAGGCGGGCCCCCUGGACGAAGACUGACGCUCAGGUGCGAAAGCGUGGGGAGCAAACAGGAUUAGAUACCCUGGUAGUCCACGCCGUAAACGAUGUCGAAAUGGAGGUUGUGCCCUUGAGGCGUGGCUUCCGGAGCUAACGCGUUAAGUCGACCGCCUGGGGAGUACGGCCGGGGAGGGUUAAAACUCAAAUGAAUUGACGGGGGCCCGCACAAGCGGUGGAGCAUGUGGUUUAAUUCGAUGCAACGCGAAGAACCCUUACCCUGGUCUU